rnacentral:misc_RNA from 1 species
AGUUUUUUUUUUUUUUUUUAAUUCAUGUACUUAGUUUUGAGGAAAAUUUCAGAACGAUAGUGGAAUACUGAGUUCAUAAUUCUAUGUUAAGCCUUUAAUGUUCUUGUUCUAAACAAUGUAUUUUGUAUAGUUUGUAAUUUAGUGUGGGAAAAUAUAGGAUGCAAUGCAUUAUAAUUUUUGGCAUGUUUCAUGGAUGCCUUUUAAAUUUAUAUAAUUUUGGAAUAAAAUGGAGAUGGUAAAUAUUGCAAAGAGAGGCUUGCAUGUUCCAGUUUGACAUGAUUGAAUAAUUUGGUUUGAUAUUUAUUUCAAACCAAACUAAACUGUUUAUGCAUAAGAAUCAAAUUAAAGCAAAUUGAAAUAUUACUGUUUGUUUAGUUUCUAAUAUGAUUUAAUGUUGCCUUGAAUGUUGAAGCUUCCAUGGCCUGCUAUACAUUUUAGGUUAAGAAAUGGUUCGCAUGGCACUUUAUGAUUAAUAGUUUCUAUCUUCCUUGUUUUGAUAAAUUCAAUUGUUGACCAAUUUUUCUGUAUCUCUACUGAUUCAGGUCUAUAAUCACAUUAAGUAGGCUUAUAGGGACUGUCAUAUUGUCCAGUGCAUUUGUUCUAGUUAUACAACAAAUCGGUUGUGUGACAUUUUCUUUUUGUUGUAUCCAUUGCUUUGCAUGUCAAACAUCUGGAUCUACCUGCACUUAUUAGUGUCGAAUUGCAAAUAAAUUUUGCUGUUGUCUGUUACAGCUUUGAAUGUUGCCUGCAAGAACUUGGGUCUUGAGGA